CUCCUCCAUCAGACCAAAGAUAUAUACAGCAUCGUGCAUCUUAUUUGAAACAUCAAUUGAUUUGUAAAAAAAUACUUUUCAUCACAGUAUGUCAAAAAACUAAUGAUGCUCAGUCUAGUAGGACCGAUCCAACCAUCACACAUCACUGUCAGUCCGUAUGUAGGCCAUUUAUUCUUGUAAGAAGCAAUUCAUCUCUGUAAAUCCUUCUUGUUACUGUCAACAAGCUGACCAUAGAUGUUCUUAGGUCCUAGCGGAUCUACAUCCUGACUGACAGCCUCUAUGGCUAAAAUGAUAGAUCGAUAGUAAGGAUUGCCUGCUGCAUUUGCUGGAAUAUGACUAAAAUAAAACCAUAAUCUAAUAGCUCGCCACAUAUCCUUCUUCUUAUCCUUUUUCACCAUAGUGUUAAUCAUCUGCUGCUUUGAAUUCUUGCUGAAAAAAGCAUGUAAAUCCAAAUCAUGGAUGAUGGCUUCUGCUGAAUAUCUUUGGAGGAUCUCUUCCUACUGCCAAAAGCUCCCAACAAAGAUGAAAUGAUGUGUCUUCUUUCUCUACCAUCAGGCUCUCUGACUGAGGUAGUCCUUCUGAACUCGAAUUCUCCCCC
rnacentral:lncRNA from 1 species